GACGAACGCUGGCGGCGUGCUUAACACAUGCAAGUCGAACGGUGAGGCGCUUGCCUUUUUGGUGGGUGUGGAUGAGUGGCGAACUGGUGAGUAACACGUGAGUAACCUGCCCUCUUCUUCUGGACAACCUCAUGAAAGUGGGGCUAAUACGGGGUAUUUCGGGUCUGUUGCUUGGCGGGUUUGGGACAGAUUGCGCCUUUGGGUGUUUUCGGUGGGGGAUGGGCUCGCGGCCUAUCAGGUUGUUGGCGGGGGGAUGGCCUACUAAGGCGGGGACGGGUGGCCUGCCUGGGAGGUUGGCCGGCCACACUGGGACAGAGAGACGGCCCAGCUUCGGGCGGGAGGCGGCAGUGGGGAAUAUUGCUCAACGGGCGCAAGCCUGAUGCAGCGACGCCGAGUGAGGGAGGGAGGCCUUCGGGUUGUGACCCUCUUUCGCGAGGGAAGCAGGCCUGCUUCUGUGUGGGUGGGUUGACGGUAGCUGGAUAAGAAGCGACGGCUAACUACGUG
rnacentral:rRNA from 1 species